AUGAAGAACUUGAGAGAUCCAAAAACCAAGAUCUAUCCCUCAACUACGAGGGGAGGUAAGGAACUGCCAUCUAGCUCUGCACUUGAUUCACCUUCUGUUAUGAGUAAGUUUGCGACACCUACACCUGCUUCUGCUAUUCGUUCUGAUAUGUCGCAUGUUAUUGAUGAUGCCACUUCUGCUAUGCAUGAUACUUAUGAUGAAACUGCUUCUAUGCCUGAUACUACUAUGCCCCUUGGUGAAUUUCUUGAUGAACAAAUUGCUAGGGCUAGAGAAAAAGAAAUUAUUGAAUCUGAAUACGACGAUGAUAGUGAUGGUGAAAAUAUGCCUGUUAUUCCUGAG
rnacentral:rRNA from 1 species